AUCCAGCUGACGAGUCCCAAAUAGGACGAAACGUGCGCCCUGGAU
rnacentral:hammerhead_ribozyme from 1 species